GGGUUGUGAGGUUAAGCGACUAAGCGUACACGGUGGAUGCCCUGGCAGUCAGAGGCGAUGAAGGGCGUGCUAAUCUGCGAUAAGCGCCGGUAAGGUGAUAUGAACCGUUAUAACCGGCGAUACCCGAAUGGGGAAACCCAGUGUGACUCGUCACACUAUCAUUAACUGAAUCCAUAGGUUAAUGAGGCGAACCGGGGGAACUGAAACAUCUAAGUACCCCGAGGAAAAGAAAUCAACCGAGAUUCCCCCAGUAGCGGCGAGCGAACGGGGAGGAGCCCAGAGCCUGAAUCAGCAUGUGUGUUAGUGGAAGCGUCUGGAAAGGCGCGCGAUACAGGGUGACAGCCCCGUACACAAAAGCGCAUGUGCUGUGAGCUCGAUGAGUAGGGCGGGACACGUGGUAUCCUGUCUGAAUAUGGGGGGACCAUCCUCCAAGGCUAAAUACUCCUGACUGACCGAUAGUGAACCAGUACCGUGAGGGAAAGGCGAAAAGAACCCCGGCGAGGGGAGUGAAAAAGAACCUGAAACCGUGUACGUACAAGCAGUGGGAGCACAGGUUUACCUGUGUGACUGCGUACCUUUUGUAUAAUGGGUCAGCGACUUAUAUUCUGUAGCAAGGUUAACCGAAUAGGGGAGCCGGAGGGAAACCGAGUCUUAAUUGGGCGUUAAGUUGCAGGGUAUAGACCCGAAACCCGGUGAUCUAGCCAUGGGCAGGUUGAAGGUUGGGUAACACUAACUGGAGGACCGAACCGACUAAUGUUGAAAAAUUAGCGGAUGACCUGUGGCUGGGGGUGAAAGGCCAAUCAAACCGGGAGAUAGCUGGUUCUCCCCGAAAGCUAUUUAGGUAGCGCCUCGUGAAUUCAUCUCCGGGGGUAGAGCACUGUUUCGGCUAGGGGGCCAUCCCGGCUUACCAACCCGAUGCAAACUGCGAAUACCGGAGAAUGUUAUCACGGGAGACACACGGCGGGUGCUAACGUCCGUCGUGAAGAGGGAAACAACCCAGACCGCCAGCUAAGGUCCCAAAGUCAUGGUUAAGUGGGAAACGAUGUGGGAAGGCCCAGACAGCCAGGAUGUUGGCUUAGAAGCAGCCAUCAUUUAAAGAAAGCGUAAUAGCUCACUGGUCGAGUCGGCCUGCGCGGAAGAUGUAACGGGGCUAAACCAUGCACCGAAGCUGCGGCAGCGACACUGUGUGUUGUUGGGUAGGGGAGCGUUCUGUAAGCCUGUGAAGGUGGCCUGUGAGGGUUGCUGGAGGUAUCAGAAGUGCGAAUGCUGACAUAAGUAACGAUAAAGCGGGUGAAAAGCCCGCUCGCCGGAAGACCAAGGGUUCCUGUCCAACGUUAAUCGGGGCAGGGUGAGUCGACCCCUAAGGCGAGGCCGAAAGGCGUAGUCGAUGGGAAACAGGUUAAUAUUCCUGUACUUGGUGUUACUGCGAAGGGGGGACGGAGAAGGCUAUGUUGGCCGGGCGACGGUUGUCCCGGUUUAAGCGUGUAGGUGUGUGUUCCAGGUAAAUCCGGUUCACUUUAACACUGAGGCGUGAUGACGAGGCACUACGGUGCUGAAGCAACAAAUGCCCUGCUUCCAGGAAAAGCCUCUAAGCAUCAGGUAACAUCAAAUCGUACCCCAAACCGACACAGGUGGUCAGGUAGAGAAUACCAAGGCGCUUGAGAGAACUCGGGUGAAGGAACUAGGCAAAAUGGUGCCGUAACUUCGGGAGAAGGCACGCUGACACGUAGGUGAAGUGAUUUACUCAUGGAGCUGAAGUCAGUCGAAGAUACCAGCUGGCUGCAACUGUUUAUUAAAAACACAGCACUGUGCAAACACGAAAGUGGACGUAUACGGUGUGACGCCUGCCCGGUGCCGGAAGGUUAAUUGAUGGGGUCAGCGCAAGCGAAGCUCCUGAUCGAAGCCCCGGUAAACGGCGGCCGUAACUAUAACGGUCCUAAGGUAGCGAAAUUCCUUGUCGGGUAAGUUCCGACCUGCACGAAUGGCGUAAUGAUGGCCAGGCUGUCUCCACCCGAGACUCAGUGAAAUUGAACUCGCUGUGAAGAUGCAGUGUACCCGCGGCAAGACGGAAAGACCCCGUGAACCUUUACUAUAGCUUGACACUGAACAUUGAGCCUUGAUGUGUAGGAUAGGUGGGAGGCUUUGAAGCGUGGACGCCAGUCUGCGUGGAGCCGACCUUGAAAUACCACCCUUUAAUGUUUGAUGUUCUAACGUGGACCCGUAAUCCGGGUUGCGGACAGUGUCUGGUGGGUAGUUUGACUGGGGCGGUCUCCUCCUAAAGAGUAACGGAGGAGCACGAAGGUUGGCUAAUCCUGGUCGGACAUCAGGAGGUUAGUGCAAUGGCAUAAGCCAGCUUGACUGCGAGCGUGACGGCGCGAGCAGGUGCGAAAGCAGGUCAUAGUGAUCCGGUGGUUCUGAAUGGAAGGGCCAUCGCUCAACGGAUAAAAGGUACUCCGGGGAUAACAGGCUGAUACCGCCCAAGAGUUCAUAUCGACGGCGGUGUUUGGCACCUCGAUGUCGGCUCAUCACAUCCUGGGGCUGAAGUAGGUCCCAAGGGUAUGGCUGUUCGCCAUUUAAAGUGGUACGCGAGCUGGGUUUAGAACGUCGUGAGACAGUUCGGUCCCUAUCUGCCGUGGGCGCUGGAGAACUGAGGGGGGCUGCUCCUAGUACGAGAGGACCGGAGUGGACGCAUCACUGGUGUUCGGGUUGUCAUGCCAAUGGCACUGCCCGGUAGCUAAAUGCGGAAGAGAUAAGUGCUGAAAGCAUCUAAGCACGAAACUUGCCCCGAGAUGAGUUCUCCCUGAGACUUAGAGUCUCCUGAAGGAACGUUGAAGACGACGACGUUGAUAGGCCGGGUGUGUAAGCGCAGCGAUGCGUUGAGCUAACCGGUACUAAUGAACCGUGAGGCUUAACCUUACAACGCCGGUGGG
rnacentral:rRNA from 1 species